UACGUAGGGGGCAAGCGUUGUCCGGAUUUACUGGGCGUAAAGAGCGUGUAGGCGGCCAGGCAGGUCUGUUGUGAAAACUGGAGGCUCAACUUCCAGACGUCGACAGAAACCGCUUGGCUAGAGUCCGGAAGAGGAGAGUGGAAUCCUGGUGUAGCGGUGAAAUGCGCAGAUAUCAGGAAGAACACCGAUGGCGAAGGCAGCUCUCUGGGACGGUACUGACGCUGAGACGCGAAAGCGUGGGGAGCGAACAGG
rnacentral:rRNA from 1 species